rnacentral:rRNA from 3 species
GGGUUGUGAGGUUAAGCGACUAAGCGUACACGGUGGAUGCCCUGGCAGUCAGAGGCGAUGAAGGGCGUGCUAAUCUGCGAUAAGCGCCGGUAAGGUGAUAUGAACCGUUAUAACCGGCGAUACCCGAAUGGGGAAACCCAGUGUGACUCGUCACACUAUCAUUAACUGAAUCCAUAGGUUAAUGAGGCGAACCGGGGGAACUGAAACAUCUAAGUACCCCGAGGAAAAGAAAUCAACCGAGAUUCCCCCAGUAGCGGCGAGCGAACGGGGAGGAGCCCAGAGCCUGAAUCAGCAUGUGUGUUAGUGGAAGCGUCUGGAAAGGCGCGCGAUACAGGGUGACAGCCCCGUACACAAAAGCGCAUGUGCUGUGAGCUCGAUGAGUAGGGCGGGACACGUGGUAUCCUGUCUGAAUAUGGGGGGACCAUCCUCCAAGGCUAAAUACUCCUGACUGACCGAUAGUGAACCAGUACCGUGAGGGAAAGGCGAAAAGAACCCCGGCGAGGGGAGUGAAAAAGAACCUGAAACCGUGUACGUACAAGCAGUGGGAGCACCCUUUGGGUGUGACUGCGUACCUUUUGUAUAAUGGGUCAGCGACUUAUAUUCUGUAGCAAGGUUAACCGAAUAGGGGAGCCGGAGGGAAACCGAGUCUUAACCGGGCGUUAAGUUGCAGGGUAUAGACCCGAAACCCGGUGAUCUAGCCAUGGGCAGGUUGAAGGUUGGGUAACACUAACUGGAGGACCGAACCGACUAAUGUUGAAAAAUUAGCGGAUGACCUGUGGCUGGGGGUGAAAGGCCAAUCAAACCGGGAGAUAGCUGGUUCUCCCCGAAAGCUAUUUAGGUAGCGCCUCGUGAAUUCAUCUCCGGGGGUAGAGCACUGUUUCGGCUAGGGGGCCAUCCCGGCUUACCAACCCGAUGCAAACUGCGAAUACCGGAGAAUGUUAUCACGGGAGACACACGGCGGGUGCUAACGUCCGUCGUGAAGAGGGAAACAACCCAGACCGCCAGCUAAGGUCCCAAAGUCAUGGUUAAGUGGGAAACGAUGUGGGAAGGCCCAGACAGCCAGGAUGUUGGCUUAGAAGCAGCCAUCAUUUAAAGAAAGCGUAAUAGCUCACUGGUCGAGUCGGCCUGCGCGGAAGAUGUAACGGGGCUAAACCAUG